rnacentral:lncRNA from 1 species
CGAGAGGGAAUCUCCUCAUCCACCACCAGUGUGCAGCAUCCACCUGGAUGAAGCUACGGCAGCCAUUUUGCACCAGACCGCACACCACACACCAGCUGAUUGGAAUAUGGGGAUGGUUAGGAGGCCAUGAUGGACAUAGGUCAGUGGGCAGAUUUGGCCAGGAUGCCGGGGUUAAACCCCUACUCUUUUUCGAAGGACAUCCUGGGAUUCUUAACGACCACAGAGAGUCGGGAUCUCGGUUUAACGUCUCAUCCGAAAGACGGCGCUCACUGAGCAGUAUAGAGUCCCUGUCACUAUACUAGGGGAUUUAGAACCCACACAGACUGCAGGUUGAUCGCCCCCUGCUGGCCUCACUAACACCACUUCCGGCAGCAACCUAGCUGGUCUCCCAUCCAGGUACUGACCAGGCGCAGCCCUGCUUAGCUUCAGUGGGCGACCAUGUGAGAGUUGCAGAGAGCUAGCUGCCGGCUAGCUUAGGAUGAUUAAUUGAAUUUACAGCAUUGAUGUAAAACUUGGAUGAUAUGAGAUUUUUGAUGCUGCUCUUGUGAUUGUAAAUCACAUUAAAUGAAAUUAAAUGUGGGCUUUUGUGUGUUGUUCUCUGCAGAUCUGGAGGAAAGAGCCGGUACGUCUUGGGGGAAUGGAGUCCGGGCCACAAAGAACUAUGCUGACGGCUCUCAGUACAGUCACAUGACCGGUCGGGACCUGGGGUCACAUGACAGCAUCUCUCCACCCUAUUCUAAUGCCAGGCUAGCAGGUAAGAGUUCUGCCGCUGAGCAUCAUGGGAUAUGUAGUUCUUCUGUGCACUGUUGCAUUGGCUGUCAAUUGGAAUGACCAGAGCGAUUCAUUUGGAUGAAUCAUUUUAUCUAAACGACUCAUUUAAACUUGGAAUCGAUAAUCAGUGAGCAGAAAAUGAAUAUGUGAUGAGUUUAGUUUGUCAGUGAAGUGUUUAAUUAUGAAUAUGUCUCUGAUGUUGGUUUUAUUGUCCAGUGAAUCGCAGCGGAUUUGUUCGUUUUGCUGUAAUGUGAUUCCGUUAAUCGCCUUCAGACUCAUUAAGCUUGAUUUUGACCGUCAAAACUGUCUUUUUGAUGAACACAGAGUUCAGAUUAGCUGGGUAUAACAUUAGAAAGCUGGAUGCUAAUGAGUGGGAGGGGCCUCUUGUUCUAGAGUGCGAUUGAUUAGAUGGGAUUUGCAUACGCCCCUGAGUGCAUGCUGAUGUCAUCGGUUGUGUAUGCAGAGACAGAGUGGGCUUUUUAAAGGGGUUUCUUUCCCGUUUUUUGUCCUCUGAGUUCCUUUUUAGUUUCCUUGUGGAGCUCUGAGCGGAUGAUGAGAUCACUUCCUGUGUCUGGAUUCAUUCUUCAGGAGAAACUGAUAUUCGGGAUGUGGUCAUAAAAUUAUCUUUACAUUUUUUUUAAAAAUGUGUUCAUAGUUGCAACUUUUAUUUAUGGUAUAUGGUGAAUAGAAGAUGCAUUGUGCUAUUAGGUUACACCAACACACCGUAAACGUAAAUUUAAAAGUUUACUUUU